AGGGUUUCUGUAUCUGUGGGAUAAUGUCCAGGGUGGGAGAAAGAACUGGGUUGUUGUAUGUCUUUCGGGCUGCCUGGGCCAUGUCCCAGAAGCAUUCUCUCCUGACGUUUCCCCCAUAUCUAUGGCAGGCAUCCUCAGAGAUUGUGGGGUAUGGAGAAAACAAAGAGGUUAAUAUAUAUCUGUGGAAAGUCUAGGGUGAGAGAAGUCAGUGUGAAUCUUGCAGUUAAUCACCUUAAUUAGCAUGGAAAAGCUUAUCUGCUGUCUCCUUCCUGCGUCUGGGGCAUCCUUUGUUUAGAGUCGUUAGCUGCCCCUGGUUGAUUCAUGUCUGGAACUCCUCUGUUUGCAGAGUGUUGCUUCUUAUUUACUGUUCUGAUUUUGGAGUUUUUUUUUUAAUACUGGCAGCCAGAUUGUGUUCAUUUCCAUGGUUUCCUCCUUUCUGUUGAAAUUGUCCACAUGCUUGUGGAUUUCAGUGGCUUCUCUGUGACGUCUGGCAUGAUAGUUGUUGGAGUGGUCCCGCAUUUCCGUGUUCUCAAAUAAUAAUAUCCUGUGUCCAGGCUGGUUCCUCGGGUGCUCUGCUGUGGCUGACUUCUCUGGCUGAGCCAGUCUGCAGGGCCUCUCAUGUUCUUUGACUCGUGUCUGGGCAUCGCUGCUGCUGCGUUUGGGGGUCCCCGUGUAGACUUCGUGUCCACAGCUGCAUGCUCGGCCACAGACUCAGCCAGAAAGCCUCUUUCUUCCGCAGCAGCGGGGAUUCCCAACUGGGAAAGGGGGCUCUGUCCCUUUAAGGCCAAGCCCCGCCUCCCUUUGGGCGCCUCUCUGCCUGCGCCGGCCAUGAUGGCACCGGGCGGAAGGAGGGCUCCGGGUGACGUCACGGCAGGGCCGCCCCGCCCCGUUCCCUUGGAGACAGGCGGGCGCUUCCGGUUGGGCCUAGCCGAGGACGAGGCCUUUCAGCGCAUGGCCAGGUUCUGCUGACUUUCCUGCCUAGUUAUGUAGCUCUUUGAAUGAAGUUUUGUGUAACUUUCCAAAGACUGGCUCUGCUCCCUGAACUGCGGAAGCACCAUUGUUCCCCUGCCGGCACCAGGAGCUCCUGUUCUGCUGAACUGCGGUUGUUGCUGCCUUCCCCCUUUGACUGC
rnacentral:lncRNA from 1 species